rnacentral:rRNA from 1 species
CCUACGGGAGGCAGCAGUGGGGAAUCUUGCGCAAUGGGCGAAAGCCUGACGCAGCAACGCCGCGUGCGGGAAGAAGGCUUUCGGGCUGUAAACCGCUUUCAGCAGGAACGAAAAUGACGGUACCUGCAGAAGAAGGAGCGGCCAACUAUGUGCCAGCAGCCGCGGUGAUACAUAGGCUUCAAGCGUUGUCCGGAUUUAUUGGGCGUAAAGAGUUCGUAGGCGGUCGAGUAAGUCGGGUGUGAAAAUUCUGGGCUCAACCCAGAGACGCCACCCGAUACUGCUUAACUUGAGUUCGAUAGGGGAGUGGGGAAUUCCUAGUGUAGCGGUGAAAUGCGCAGAUAUUAGGAGGAACACCGGUGGCGAAGGCGCCACUCUGGAUCGAUACUGACGCUGAGGAACGAAAGCAUGGGUAGCAAACAGGAUUAGAUACCCUGGUAGUCCAUGCCGUAAACGGUGGGCACUAGGUGUGGGAUUCUAUUAACGAAUUCCGCGCCGUCGCUAACGCAUUAAGUGCCCCGCCUGGGGGAGUACGGUCGCAGACUAAACUACAAGAAGUAGUAGCGNGNGAGACGCGACGACGACGACGAGGAGGAGG